rnacentral:rRNA from 1 species
GUACGUAGGGAGCAAGCGUUGUCCGGAAUCACUGGGCGUAAAGGGCGCGUAGGCGGCCUGAUAAGUAGGGGGUGAAAUCCUGCGGCUUAACCGCCAGGGCUGCCUUCUAAACUGGUCAGGCUCGAGCACAGUAGAGGCAGGUGGAAUUCCCGGUGUAGCGGUGGAAUGCGUAGAGAUCGGGAGGAACACCGGUGGCGAAGGCGGCUUCCUGGAC